ensembl:lncRNA
CUUUAUGUUUCAGCGGAGUGCAAUUGCCUGUGAUUUAUCCACUCAUCCACCCAUUUUCCUGACUGCUUAUCCAGCUUAGGUUCCUGAGGGGCCGGAGCCUAUCCGGGCUGCCAGUCUAUCACAGGGCUACCUGUGAUUUAUAUCCUACAAAAAACACAUUUGUACUCUUACUUAAAAGCACCAAGCAUCUUAAACUGAUGCCUGUGACCUUUGUCGAGGUCAUCCACAACUUUGAUUAUUUCCUUUGUUGGAUUGAUUUAACUCAGUCACCGCAUUUCAUUUCAUGUCAGUAUGCUCAUAAUUCCUUUAUUCUCGUCUCUGUACACAAUAAAAAGGCACAAAACUGACCACAAGGACCUUUUGUAUUAAUGCUUCAAUUGUAUGAUAAAGUUACAUUGACUCUUGAAGCUUGUUGUUUUAUUCAUAGCUACAGGCUGGAUCUUUAUGACAUUUUAAAGCGUCUUUUCUUAGCAGUGCAGCAAGUUGAUUUACCGAUGUUAUCGUUCUGUUCUCAUGAUUUUGGCAAUGAUAUUAAUUGGCUCAAGAUUAGAAUUGUGGGAUUUUUUUUUUUUUUUAAGAGGGAAUGCGAUUACAGUACAGAGACAGGAAACAUGGGAGAGAUAAGAGGAGGCCACAUGGCUUGCGUCCCAGUUCUUCGAAAGGUUUCAUAAUUAAAAGUAGUGUUUACCAUUGGGGUGAACAGUGUCAUUGAUUUAAAUUGGACGAGUUGGGGCGGGGCGGAGCAGGGGUGGUGGGAUGUGCAGAUGCUCCAAAGUGUUUUUAUUGGAAGCAUUUUUGCGAGGUAUGUCUUCGUCCGGACUACUUCCAGCUGUGAUGUUUGUUGAGAGUGAGGAACAUGCAGAAAAAAUACACUAUUGUACCCUUUGUGUUAGAAAAGCAUCAUUACCAAUGUCAGCAAAUUUGAGGUGUGGCACCAUCAACGUGGGUCUUAAAUAUCCGAGACUGAUUGCUUCAGACCAGCUCCAGUACAGCCAGACUCUCCCUGAUAAGGAUGAUGGAUGGGGCAGAACUCUGGCUCCAGCCAAGCCCGGCAGCUUCCUGGGAGCUGAGAGAUACUGAGUGGGAGGUGGAGGGGACUGUGUUGGGCAGGGAGUCGGGGAGCAGCAAAGGUGGGGGGGGGAGUGAGUUACUUGGCUGUGCCCUGUGCUGUCCAUAUGGUAAUACUCCCAAAUGAAAUAAUACCAUACAGGGUGUGUCUUUCGUUUGUUUUCAGAUUAGUGGCUAUCGACGAGGUUAAAGCAGCCAGGAGGAUCAGCCUUAAUACUUUUAUCUCACUGCGUGAUUCUAAACCAGAGUGUUGCUCUAGUAAAAAACAAAAAACAAUAGCAGCUAAUAAGUGCUGCAUACUUCAAGAAAAAUACUCCUGACUUUUGUGCAAUUUUGUGUUUUCUGCUCACUUUUAAUCUGAGGCUGGGAGCACCUAACGCAGCUUCUCUGUGCUGCAGAAUUUCUUCAGUAAUACCAUUCAAAGGUUCUCAUCUUUUAUCUUAAAAAUCAUUCAUCAAAAAUUUUCUGAGGGGGCUAAAAAAAUAGGAAACUCCCUUUUUGCAGUUAGUUUUAAACAAGCAUGUGAAUGAACAGAACUUCCUAUUGUGUGGAAGAAGAAGAAUGUGACCACCCCCAUCGUUGUAGAAUUGUAGAUAUCAUAUCUAUGCUUGUACAUUAUGUGUCUGUAAACAUGGAAGCAUAUAAUUGGCUGAUCAUGACGGGGCAGGCUGAACUGAUCGGGUGUCAGUUUGUAGCUUCAUCAGCUUCAUUCAUCUGUUGCUUCAUCAGCAGCAAUGUAAACAUGCCGCUGGGGACACAAAAGACUUUUUGGAUAAAGUGAUAUUUUAAGAAUGGAAGCAAUUCAGGAAAGUCACAGUUCGCUCAGCAUAAGGUUAUCAACUUUUGUGUUAGUGUAACACAUUUCAAAGUAAUGCAUAACUGUAACCGUAUUCCAUUUUUAUGUAAUGCAGUAAUGUGAUCACUUUCUGUACUAGAUUCAUUAAUUACGUUACAGUUACCUAGGUAAAAAAAAAUGGCUCUUCAAUUAUUUGCAUGAUGGUUGCAAAGAAAGGAAAACAAACAAGUAUUUAUUUUCCUUCCUGUGUAAAUCAGCUGAUUUCAGUUUGGUUCAGUUUUGAGGAAAGGAGAUAUGGAUGAUAGCAUGAUGGUAAAGUGCAGACUGCAUCCAGGAGACAAACAACUGUGUUAUACUGCAUUGUUAACACAACUUCAGCUCCUUCCAGGCAUCUGCAUAAACAGCAUCCCAGCACAAAGCUAGAGACUGUGGAAGUUCUCAGUCAUCCAGGUCAUCCAGGUCUUAAGAGCUCAAAAAGAGGGGACCACCUGGGACUCUGCACCACAUUUAUAUUGAUAAGUGAUACUUGUGUGCAUUUUUUAAUAAGACGCCUCCUCGUAAUCAUUUAACAUGGCUGCUCUUGUCUGCUUAUGAAGCAAUAAAAUAUACACUGCUAGGGAAAGUUUCUUCUAAAAUGAUGGGUUAACUUUUGCCACAUCAUAUUUUUUCAUAACUUUUUGCUUUCCACAUGGUCUUACAUAGUGGAUCAAAAUCAGACAGUACUUUUCUGCAUUCAUAAUUCCAUCAGUUUUAACCAAAUCUCCAAAAACACUGGCUGAAAUAAAGCACCAAACUGUCACAGGCAUCUAACUCUCUGUUAACCACUUCUCUCCUGACCUCCUCCGUACAUACUGAGAAUUAUUUGAACCACAUCACUCCAGAAAACUCCAGAAGUCCAGUUCUUGUGCAGUUUGUGCUCAGUCUUUUCUCCCUGUUUCUCUUUUUUAAGAAGGGCUGCUUGAUUUGAUUUGAAUUUCCUCAAAUUUUUUAAGAAGAUGAUCCACGCCAUGCCAGGAUAUGCCAAGUUUUCAAUUAAUAGGUCCAUGAUAAGCAUGUCAUUACUGUAAAAAAAUAUUAUUUCAUGUCCGUCAGGCUGUUUUCAUUAAGACCACUUCAAAAAAAUCCAAGAAAGUCUCACUCCUUAGAUGCAAAAUAUAAAGAAAUGAGGGAUGACUGAAGAUGUUUGCACAGAACUGUAGCUUUCACACUGGCACUAAAAAUCAUACCCGUAGACCCUUAAACUUUCACGUUAUUCCCUCACAGUACCAUAAUGCACAAUUCUGCCUUAACCAUCGAUUAUACAUAAGUAAAUAAAUAUAAAGUCUCACAAGUUUUUACUUGCAAGUGGUUGUUGCCCUCCAAUCUGACUAACAGCAACAUAUUUUGGGAGAAUGAAGUGCCCUCAUGGAGUGACUAUCCUGCUUUUUUUUUCCCCACAAUAACCGCACAGAAAGCAAAUAUUUAAAUACAGAAUUUUAAACGGUGGCUUUUGCCAUGAAGACAGGGAUCUAACAGUACCAGUAACAGUAUCUCUCUAAUAUUCUCUAUAGCUGCUUAUUUGGAACUAUACGAGCUGCGCCUUCC